rnacentral:rRNA from 1 species
GACGAACGCUGGCGGCGUGCUUAACACAUGCAAGUCGAGCGGUAAGGCCCUUUCGGGGUACACGAGCGGCGAACGGGUGAGUAACACGUGGGUGACCUGCCCUCAGCGUCUGGGAUAAGCCUAGGGAAACCGGGUCUAAUACUGGAUAUGACUCCAUGACGCAUGUUGUAGGGGUGAAAGCCUUGUGUCGGCUGAGGAUGGGCCCGCGGCCUAUCCAGCUUGGUUGGUGGGGUGAGGCCUACCAAGGCGACGACGGGUAGCCGGCCUGAGAGGGCGACCGGCCACACUGGGACUGGAGACAC